rnacentral:rRNA from 1 species
GUCUAUGGCCAUGCUACCUUGAACAAGCCCGAUCCCGUCUGAUCUCGGAAGCUAAGCAGGGUUGGGCCUGGUUAGUACUUGGAUGGGAGACCACCCAGGAAGACCAGAUGCUGUAGGCA